UAGGGAAUCUUCGGCAAUAGGGGCAACCCUGACCGAGCAACGCCGCGUGAGUGAAGAAGGUUUUCGGAUCGUAAAGCUCUGUUGUAAGAGAAGAACGUGUGUGAGAGUGGAAAGUUCACACAGUGACGGUAACUUACCAGAAAGGGACGGCUAACUACGUGCCAG
rnacentral:rRNA from 1 species